UCUCAGGAAAAAACAAGGAUUAUUUAGAUCAAUAUAUUGUCUACUUGAUUUUUUGGGUUGAAUUUGAUAGAAGAGGAACUACAAGAGAUCUUUGAUAGCAACACUUCCCAAUCUUCAUGGGCUUCCGAACUUGCAAGAAAGAAGAAGCCUCUGUGGAGGGUAAUCAAGAUAUGGAGGUGAAGAUUUAGUAAAAGAAAGAGGUAGUUGAAAAAUCCAUGGAC